GACAGAGGUUGCAAACGUUGUUCGGAAUCACUGGGCAUAAAGCGCACGUAGGCGGUCUGUUAAGUCAGGUGUGAAAGCCCCCGGCUCAACCGGGGAAUUGCAUUUGAUACUGGCAGGCUCGAGAACGGUAGGGGUGAGUGGAACUCCAGGUGGAGCGGUGAAAUGCGUAGAUAUCUGGAGGAACACCGGUGGCGAAAGCGGCUCACUGGACCGUCACUGACGCUGAGGUGCGAAAGCUAGGGUAGCAAACGGG
rnacentral:rRNA from 1 species